rnacentral:rRNA from 1 species
GAUGAACGCUGGCGGCGUGCCUAAUACAUGCAAGUCGAGCGAACAGAUGAGGAGCUUGCUCCUCUGACGUUAGCGGCGGACGGGUGAGUAACACGUGGUUAACCUACCUAUAAGACUGGGAUAACUUCGGGAAACCGGAGCUAAUACCGGAUAAUAUAUUGAACCGCAUGGUUCAAUAGUGAAAGACGGUUUUGCUGUCACUUAUAGAUGGAUCCGCGCCGCAUUAGCUAGUUGGUAAGGUAACGGCUUACCAAGGCAACGAUGCGUAGCCGACCUGAGAGGGUGAUCGGCCACACUGGAACUGAGACACGGUCCAGACUCCUACGGGAGGCAGCAGUAGGGAAUCUUCCGCAAUGGGCGAAAGCCUGACGGAGUAACGCCGCGUGAGUGAUGAAGGUCUUCGGAUCGUAAAACUCUGUUAUUAGGGAAGAACAAAUGUGUAAGUAACUAUGCACGUCUUGACGGUACCUAAUCAGAAAGCCACGGCUAACUACGUG